UCUACGGGAGGCAGCAGUGAGGAAUAUUGGUCAAUGGACGGAAGUCUGAACCAGCCAUGCCGCGUGCAGGAUGACGGCUCUAUGAGUUGUAAACUGCUUUUGUACGAGAAUAAUAGUUCUUACGUGUAGGGAUUUGAAUGUAUCGUACGAAUAAGGAUCGGCUAACUCCGUGCCAGCAGCCGCGGUAAUACGGAGGAUGCGAGCGUUAUCCGGAUUUAUUGGGUUUAAAGGGUGCGUAGGCGGUCCGUUAAGUCAGCGGUAAGAUUGCGGGGCUCAACCCCGUCGAGCCGUUGAAACUGGCAGACUUGAGUUGGCGAGAAGUACGCGGAAUGCGCGGUGUAGCGGUGAAAUGCAUAGAUAUCGCGCAGAACUCCGAUUGCGAAGGCAGCGUACCGGCGCCAGACUGACGCUGAGGCACGAAAGCGUGGGGAUCGAACAGGAUUAGAUACCCUUGUAGUC
rnacentral:rRNA from 1 species